rnacentral:rRNA from 1 species
CUUACCGGGUCCGGACACACUGAGGAUUGACAGGCAAUCAUGUGAAUUGCUUUUUUUUUUAUUAUUUUUUUAUUUWAAAAUAAAAAAAGUNUUCACACAUAAAUAUGCUAGUCCUUUCAUGAUUAUGUGAUAGGUGGUGCAUGGCCGUUCUUAGUUCGUGGAGUGAUCUGUCUGCUUAAUUGCGUUUCACCUGGACUUARAAUUUAAGUGUGUUUAUUUUUCUUGUAACUUGGGUCAAGUUUACGCUCUUUUUUUUUAAAUUGGGUUUUCUUGGGCGGUUACUUUAUUGAGUAAAUAAAUGCACAUUUAGUCCUGAAAGCAACGAACGUGACCGCAUCCUCUKGUUGCCUUUUAACUGAAGUUUUCUGUUUUUUWAUGGGUUUUUUUUUUUUUUUAAAUAAUAAACAUAAAUUUAGGCAGGCUUUUAACAUAAAGGCUUUCUUAAAAACUAGAGGGACCGCUGUGACUUUUUUAAACCAGAGGAAGGUUGCGGCAAUAACAGGUCUGUGAUGCCCUUAGAUGUUCCGGGCUGCACACGUGCUACAAUGAUUAUUGCAGUGAGCAUCUCAUUUUAUAGCACUGUUUUCAUUUUUCUUUUUUUAAUUUUAUUAACAUUUGAGAAUGAGCAGUCAAAGCCUGCUUCGAAAGUUCGCAGGUAAUCAAUUGGAAGUAAUGAUUUCCCUUAACUCAAAUUUGUUUUUGAUUUUGUGAGCACACAAUAUGCUGCUCCCCUCCCUGGCACUUAGCGAUUUUUGUCUAUUUGUCAUUGUGUGUGGGGAUGUUUCAGCAUGUGCUUUUUGUCAAUUCAUGGUGGGGACAGACCAUUGUUAAUUGUUGGUCUCGGUCUCAACUAGGAAUGCCUUGUACGGGUCUUUGGUUCAACAAACCACCCGGAAUACGUCCCUGCCCUUUGUACACACCGCCCGUCGCUCUUACCGAUGGACUUCUCUGUGAGUUUGAGGGACUGGGUACCUUAGCCUUUCUUUUGGCUAGAAACACUUAUGGAAACUUAAACGAACAGUGUGGUCUAAAGGAAAGAGAAGUCGUAACAAGGCAUCGGUAGGUGAACC